CUCAGAACUAAACUUAGAAACAAAACCGUGAAGCAUCAGUUUUGCUUUUCUCUACAACCUUGGAUACCACAAAAUUUACUUAUUUUGAAAGACUGGGAUGUAAUUCACUGUUGUAUUCUGCAUCCCCUUUCCAGAUGCCAGGAUGAAUGCAGCCAUUUCCAGUUUCUAUUCCAGGAUUUAGAUGAACAGGUUUGGGGAGGCAAUUUCCUUUCAGGCAAGAGUACUUCCAGCAUACCAUCUGAUUGGAGAAGUCUCUAAAAUGUUCUGAUGAAGGUACAUCUCUACUACUUCUGUCAGCCUGAAGACAGGAAGAGCAGCACAAUUAAUCUCUGCACAUGUAAACUCUUCCAUCCCACAAUGGCAGUGCUUCCUCAAUAUCCUCCAUUUGGGGGGUCCCUUGGCCACACCACCCUCCAGUGCCUGCAGAGAAUGUGCUGAUUACUGGUACCAGCAUUGCCAGUUGGUAGAGCCCAGGUGGCAUUUUUUAACCUUUCUCUUUUGAUUUCUAAAUUGCCAAUAGCUAGUGAAGAAAACAAGGCUCAAC
rnacentral:lncRNA from 1 species